rnacentral:lncRNA from 1 species
UCUACAUCCUAACAGCUUCAAUCACAAAGCCCAAUAACCCAAUAAUGAGACUCAAGUUCGUGUAUCCUUAACUACCUAUCAAAAGAAAAUGUUACACGUGCACGAUUUGGCUUCAAUUACUGUUUUGUUUGCUUCUUGUUUAUUUUCAUUUUCAUUUUAUAUAUUUUUAUUUUGCAUUGCAGCUAGAUAUCUAUUGCAAAGUUCGUAACAGGGGCUUCAUCAGUGGGCAGCAUAGCCAUUCCUAUUAUCUUUAGGCAUGCAGAUUUGAUAGGGACGGGAGCCAUGCGGAUCAAAUUUUUCUCCUUUUUCAUAUUUGUCUGCACCGUCUUGUGUUUUCAUUGUGCUAGCCUCGAAGAUGAGUGGUGAUGAAUAUCCCCUGCAUCAACGCGAUAAAUCUGUAAGUUGCAUGUUGUUGAUCAUUUUGAUUGGUUUUAUCAUAUUAUCAAACCUAACCAUGAUAAAUGUGAAACAUUGGUUAAUGGCUUCAGUUAGGAAGAGAAAAAUAGAUUGAGAAUUGUCUGUCCAGUGUGUAAAACUAGAAUUUCCUGAACGUACAUCUUUGAAAGACUGGUUGACUUCGCUGUGUAUCGAAUCUUUUUCUGAUAUCUUAUGCUUCUUGCUGGACGAACAAAACAUUUGUGAUUCGAAUCUAAG